ensembl:lncRNA
GGGCAGUUGCUGGUCAGGUUCCACAGGGCUCAUUUUAGGAGCCAGUUUGCAGUUUCUGGAUAGGGGACUUGAACGUGCUUCAAGUGAGUUUGCUGAUGACACUAAAUAAGGAGGAUCUUCAGGCUUCUCAUGGGUAGAAAGGCUUUGUACAGAGAUAGUGAUACAGUCGUAUGCUGUACAGUCACCAACCACAUGAACUUUGAGUUUCUACGCCUGGGAUGGGUCUCUGCUCCACAACUACAUGAAAGGAGGCUGCAGUGAAGUAAGGGGCAGCUUCUUUUCCCAGGUAGCUUAGUGCUACGGGACAGCCCUAAGUUAUGACAGGAGGUUCAGGAUGAACAAGGAAAAAUUUAUUGUCAAAAAGAGCACUGAGGUGUUGGAACAGGCUCGGGAGCUGGAGGAGUCACUGUUCCUGGAGGCAUUUAUGAAAAGGGUUGGUGUUGCAUUGAGUUUCUUAGGUAAACAGUGAGGCAGUGAGCGGUCGGACAAGUUGACCUUAGUGACCUUUUUGCUUCUGUGAUGCAAGGCAUAGAGGGCAGGUGGGCCAGAUUUGACAAGCUGCUCAGGUCCUAGAGUCAGUUCAGUCCAGAGAAGGCUGAGGGGAGGCUUCACAGCAGCCCUACAGCUCCUCACAAAAGGAAGCAGCGCUAAAACAGGAGGAGAACAUGAUGAGUUUCUUCCCCAGAUGGUUGUGGGCACUGGGGCAGCAGUCCCAGCCCCAGUUAUGACUUAAGUAAUUGUUUGGAAAGGUAAAUGCAGAAGAGGACAGCUUUGUGUUGUUUGCAUUACAGCUUGGGCUCAGCUGGGGAUGAAAGUUCAGAGGAACCUUCAUCGGAACCAACUUCCUAAAAGCUGACAUGAAGGGCUUACUUAAUUCUAAUGAGUUUUUAUCUAGCUGGAAACCAGAGAUAACUCAGUGUGCUUAACUUAAAAAAAACCAGCUGUAUGAAACAGUUUAUGUUUGGCCUGGAGAGCGGAGCUACACUUGCCUUCAAGUUCAGGAAGCUCUACUAAAUUCAAGAAAGAAUACUAUUCAAAGAUUCAGCUGCAACAAUACAAAUACAGGAAACAGGCCAGACAGUUUCAUUCAAAAUGGCCUUUCCAGAAAACAAAGAAGAACCACCACACAAAAGCUGAUAAUUCUAAGACGGAUGCAUCAUCACCUGCUUCCCACCAUAUGGAAGCAACCUUAGUUGUUACCAGUAUUUGGGGAAGCACACAUGGAAAUGGGAAAAACAGAGCUAUGCAUAGAUGUUCUUAUUGAAGCAAAGCUGUAGAAGAACAGAUGGAGUUUCUCUUAAAAAGGGAGAAACAUUUAUUUGCCAUUUAAAUUGGCAGCUUUAAGUCUCUAAGCUACCUGCCUACUGAUACAAUUCAGGACUUCUCACAAGAGGCAUCUUAAGCACUAUGAUUAAAACCACUCCAUGACAUAGACAAAAGCAGAGAACCCUCCAGAACUGAAAACUGAUUUGGUCUCACAGCCUUCUCAGGUAAGGAAGCUUCAUAGACCAUUUCCUUUUUUUUUCCCAUUGGACUGACUUUUUUGUCAGCUACUCCUGAGAAAAAAUUGUAGAGAG